rfam:Sphingobacteriales bacterium 50-39 SCNpilot_cont_1000_p_scaffold_111, whole genome shotgun sequence.
CUGCGGGCGAGUCAUCGCCUGGAGCAGAAGUCAGCCGAGGUCAUAGUAGGCAGGGAACGAGCCAUCUCCUGAAGCAAAGGGUAAAGAUGGAGGCCUCACAGACACGCCGAAGGAC